ACCAAACCUGGUUAAGUCAACGCAAGGUAUUGAAUCUUCAGAAAUAUCUCUGUAUUUAUAAGGUUUAUUUUGCAUAAGAGUCCCCAGCAUCCCAAGCGACUGUUCUUCUGGUUUCAAAAUCUAAAGGUUGUGCAAGAGAUGAUCCAACAACAAGAAACCUCUUUCGGAGACGGUUGCUUGCUAUAACUGCUCCAAUAAGAAACCAUCAUAUCCACUAAUAUGGUGGGAGUUUCUCACCCUUACUCUUAAAGGUAUUGUCGUUCAUGGGGCAGCAGGGUGCGGGGCGAUGUCUUUAGCUUUGCGCAGUGGCAGUAUCGUAGCCAAUGAGGUUUAUCCGAGGCGCGAUUAUUGCUAAUUGAAAACUUUUCCCAAUACCCCGCCAUGACGACUUGAAAUAUAGUCGGCAUUGGCAAUUUUUGACAGUCUCUACGGAGACUGAGC